rnacentral:misc_RNA from 1 species
UCCGGUUUGUCACCGGCAUAACCCGCUGGUAACUAGGGACGAGGGUUGCGCUCGUUGCGGGACUUAACCCAACACCUCACGGCACGAGCUGACGACAGCCAUGCACCACCUGCGCAUAAGUCCCUUGCGGGAGGUUCUGGCUUUCACCAAAAUUUCCUAUGCAUGUCAAACCCAGGUAAGGUUCUUCGCGUUGCCUCGAAUUAAACCACACGCUCCGCUGCUUGUGCGGGCCCCCGCCUAUUCCUUUGAGUUUUAACCUUGCGGCCGUAGUCCCCAGGCGGUCAACUUCACGCGUUAGCUGCGGUACUGAGAAAUCGCUUCCCCAACACCUAGUUGACAUCGUUUAGGGCGUGGACUAC